GCAAAACUCAAGGAAGCAGAGAGCAGGAAAAAAAAAGAAUUUCUGUGAUCCAGCCUUGGACAACUGGAUGAUCUGGGGAUUUCCAUAAUCUUGUCAUGAAAAUCUAUGCAUGAAAGAUUAGAAGGUGGUUCAGCUUUGUUCAGUGAGAAGCAAUAGUCCACUACACCCAGCCCAGCCUCACUCUGGAGAACAAAGAUCGCAAUACAAAAUGGGCAAAAGUAAUUCUGUCUAGGACCAAAGGCAAUCAUUUCACCUAUGUAUGUACAUGGUAGAGGGACUUCUCUCCAUAUUCUGACCUGCAAGCAUAAGUGGCCGAAGUGAAAGGGCAGAUCC
rnacentral:lncRNA from 1 species